AGGUGAAAAAUGGCAGUUCUUCUGGUUGUUUUAGGAUUUAUUGCUAUCUUUGACGUCUACUGGAUUCUUCGCCUCAUAGUUACAAAACUGAUUGCUCGAUAUAGAAUUCCAAUAAGAUAUGACGAGGAUUCAGUUUGCUACAAUAUUUGUUGGACAACUGACAUCGACUAUUUUUUCCACAUGAACAAUGGAAAGUAUUUCCGGGAGAUGGACUUUGGGCGAUUUGAUUUCUACUUUCGGACUGGGUUCUCUAACUAUAUUCAAACAAGAGAGAAAAUGUACUUUGUACAGCACGGUGCCUGUAUCAGGUAUCGUCGCUCGAUCGACUUCCUUGUCCCCUUCAAGCUGGUGACGAGGCUUGUAUACUGGGACGAGAGAUCGCUCUAUUUCGAGCAGAAGUUCGUCUCUCUUCACGACGGGUUUAUCAGAGCUGUAGCCCUCUGUAAAAAUACAUGUGUCGGGGGAACUGUCAAGGACAUGUUCGCUAGCCUUGGCCUGCCUGCUACUCCUCCCCCUAUUCCGGAAGAAAUUCAACUCUGGAUUAGAUGUCAAGAAAUAUCAUCAAACAGGCUCAGAAUUACAGGUCAGGGUCGAAGUGAAGGUACUUCCCUUGCUGCCCUAGAUCCAACCCAACAAGAUGAAGCAACACUUUCUGAAGGUUUGGCGUUUAAGGCUGAAGGUUUGGCGUGUGAAGUUCAAGGUUCGGCGUGUGAGGCGGCGUGCCUUGAACCAGAAACGUGUAAGCCUGCUCCAACAUUUCCCACCGCAAAUGACUGGGAGGUUCUGGAUGAUAAAAAGGAAGCUUAAUUUCAAGUUUCAAGGCUAUCAAUAUAAAAAUUUAGUCAACUCGUCAAUCUAUUGAACAAACAUAGUAUUAUUUUAAUUUUAUUUAGAUUAGCGCUUCUAUUAAAUCUAAUAAUUUAUUUUAGUUUGGUUUAGUCAGUUCUUAUUUCAAUUAUCCUACGAAAUACUCAAUCCUCGUUUUUAAAUUUAUCCCUGUGUAUGUUUUAGUCAGUUAAAUUGUGAUCUAAAAUUGUUUUUGUUUAUUAUUGGAAGCUGCAAUACCAUUUAAAAACUUUAUUGAAAUGCUUGUCGACGUUGUGUAAAGAGUUUCAUACCAGAUUCAUAAAGCUACCAGUUAAAUUCGAAGUCAAUUUUAUAGGGAAACUGCACUGAAAAAUAAUUAAUUUUCAAAAUAAAAAGGUUACCUCAAUCUUUUUUCCAGAGUCCAAGCUUUAAAGGGGACUAAUGUGAAUCGGGUGUGAACCUUUUUUUGUUAAUGCUGAACUCCUAAAAUAUAAUUCAAAUGUUAUUUAUUAUUAAUUAAUCAAAAUGUUUGUUAAUCAGCACGGCCUUGUUAACACUUAAAAUUAUAUAUUUUGACUUGUGCAUUUAUCAAUUAGAAAUCUACUUUUUGUUGUAUACUUUCGGAGUCUCUAUUAGUGCCAUCUUGUGUUAAUUUUCUGAACUUCAGA